GGGAACGUACCCUUUGGUUCGGAAUAACGCUGGGAAACUAGCGCUAAUACCGGAUACGCCCUUUUGGGGAAAGGCUUGCUGCCGAAGGAUCGGCCCGCGUCUGAUUAGCUAGUUGGUGGGGUAAUGGCCUACCAAGGCGACGAUCAGUAGCUGGUCUGAGAGGAUGAUCAGCCACACUGGGACUGAGACACGGCCCAGACUCCUACGGGAGGCAGCAGUGGGGAAUAUUGGACAAUGGGCGCAAGCCUGAUCCAGCCAUGCCGCGUGAGUGAUGAAGGCCUUAGGGUUGUAAAGCUCUUUUGUCCGGGACGAUAAUGACGGUACCGGAAGAAUAAGCCCCGGCUAACUUCGUGCCAGCAGCCGCGGUAAUACGAAGGGGGCUAGCGUUGCUCGGAAUCACUGGGCGUAAAGGGCGCGUAGGCGGCCAUUCAAGUCGGGGGUGAAAGCCUGUGGCUCAACCACAGAAUUGCCUUCGAUACUGUUUGGCUUGAGUAUGGCAGAGGUCAGUGGAACUGCGAGU
rnacentral:rRNA from 1 species